AUGCCUGACUUAAGAACCUCUUUGAUACAGGAACCUCACAGUGAAUAUGUGAAUAUCUCCCCGAAGGAGGGUAGUUUGUUCCACCUAUUAAUCCUGUGUCAGCUCUGCAUAGGCAGUGAGGGAGCUGUAGCUCCAGUUUCCAAACCCUUUUGCUAUAAUACUUUGAUUUUUCUAGCGAAGUCCUUGUUUUCCUCUGAUUAUGUUCUUAACUUACUGCAUAUUUUGCUGAAGGAUCCUCAGAGUACCCACAAGGACCUGUGAGAUCAAGAACUGAUUAGAGUCAGGCAGGGAAAGACAUGCAUAAGAGGGAAUGAAGAUGGCAAUCUCAGGUGCACUUCAAGUCUCAGACAGCACCAGCUGAAACUUUCAGCCUGCUUAGCAUCGCCUUCUUUUAAAUCUUUCUGUUCGCUAUAACUUGAGUCUCUAGAGAAGGAUGGUGGUGGACAGCCAGUUCACUGUUCACGUUGAUAGGUAAGUUAGCAGUAUAUCAGAAGAAUUCUUUGAAAAAAGUUAUAAACGCUAAGGAAGUGGUUGCAUGCAAUUUUCAACAUAUUUUAGCUGCUUGUUAGUUCAAGGAAAUUGUGUUCUACUGAAUGCAAAAGCACAUCUCUUUUUUCUUUGUAUGUUUGCAGCAGCAGGUAGGUGGUGAGCUGUGUGAAGCAUCCUGAGUAGGGAUGAAUGAGCCGCUUUGAAAGAAGAAAGUCUCUCCCAGGAUUUUGCCAGCUUUUUGAACUUGACUUUUAACUUGUUUUGGGAAUUGUCACAUUUUAUUUAGGCUUAGACAUGAAAAGGGCAUACAUCUUGGAGGAUAGUUUUUCCUUCUGAGGAUUCCAGAUAAACACUGGAAAAUCAAGCUUAGUAGAUGCUAGAACGCUUUUAGAAUACUUUUCAAAACAAAGAUGGAGUGGUAGCUCAGGCCCAUCAGAGAGCUCAUCAUGGCCAUUGUGAACUCAGAUUUUUGAAGGAAGAGGCAAGGAACAGAAAUUACUGCAUAAAUCAUCUGCAGACAGAAUCAAUGUGUGUCCUCAUUUUGUUUAACCUAGUAAAGUUGGUGAGAGAUCUGCUGUAGUAGGGAAGCUGCAAUCGUGCAUGACUCAUGAGGAGACUUUUGGCUAAUCUGACCAUUUGAGGACGCUGAAUAGCUUAGUGAAACACAUUUUGGACAACUACAUUUCCAACCCAUUCUGUGUGAACCAACUGUGUUUCACAGAGCAGCUGCGAUAACCUCUGACUAAUUGGCUUUUUGGAAGGUUACCUGCUG
rnacentral:lncRNA from 1 species